GUAAGCAAAACCAAAACCUCUGGGUGGCUCCAAACUAUCCCACAUUUAUCGAACCUCAAAUAUAACUCCUAUCCAUUACGUGUGAGCUCUUAUCCCCUAUAACAUAUUUGUGAACGUUACAUCAACCAAACUCUUUUCUCAUGAAAAUAAUUUAUAUAUAAAGCCCCCUCAUAAUCAACAUCUUCUUCCUCAUCAACUCUCUCUCUCUCUCUCUCUCUUCAAAAUUAAGCCAAAUAUGGAGAAAGAAACCGACAACAUGAGCUCUUUUGACAUGGAUGCACUUAGGACAAAUCUUCCACAGAAGAGAGGACUGUCAAGGUUUUAUUCAGGUAAAUCAAGGUCAUUUACAUGCAUGGAAGAUGUUCGUUGCUUAGAGGAUUUGAAGAAACAAGAACACCAAGAUGCUAAGAAAAGGAAGAAAUAUUCGGAUAGGAAUAAAGGCACCCCCCACAUUCCACCAAGUCCAUGUAGAAGAAUAUCCAGUAGCACACAAUGUGCUCCACCUUAUAUUGGAGUGUAAAUAUUAUGUAUCAAGCGGAAUCAAAGGCAUAUCUUCGGUUCUUGUGUUAAUUAUUGAGAUUUUGUAAAUCCAUAUUGUGGAUAUUAUAGGAGUUUCAAAAAUUUUAUUAUAAUUGUAACGUGUUUCAUUCUAUAACAUAAUUAUAUUGUAAAUAUUCCGUCUUUA